rnacentral:rRNA from 1 species
GUGCCAGCCGCCGCGGUAAUACGGAGGGUGCAAGCGUUAAUCGGAAUUACUGGGCGUAAAGCGCGCGUAGGCGGCCAAUGAAGUCGGUUGUGAAAUCCCCGGGCUCAACCUGGGAAUUGCAGUCGAUACUGGUUGGCUGGAGUAUGGGAGAGGAUGGUGGAAUUCCAGGUGUAGCGGUGAAAUGCGUAGAGAUCUGGAGGAACAUCAGUGGCGAAGGCGACCGUCUGGCCCAAUACUGACGCUGAGGUGCGAAAGCGUGGGGAGCAAACAGGAUUAGAUACCCUCGUAGUCC